AUUGAACGCUGGCGGCAUGCCUUACACAUGCAAGUCGAACGGUAACAGGUCUUCGGAUGCUGACGAGUGGCGAACGGGUGAGUAAUACAUCGGAACGUGCCUAGUAGUGGGGGAUAACUACUCGAAAGAGUGGCUAAUACCGCAUGAGAUCUACGGAUGAAAGCAGGGGAUCGCAAGACCUUGUGCUACUAGAGCGGCCGAUGGCAGAUUAGGUGGUUGGUGGGAUAAAAGCUUACCAAGCCGACGAUCUGUAGCUGGUCUGAGAGGACGAUCAGCCACACUGGGACGGAGACACGGCCCAGACUCCUACGGGAGGCAGCAGUGGGGAAUUUUGGACAAUGGGCGAAAGCCUGACCCAGCAAUGCCGCGUGCAGGAUGAAGGCCUUCGGGUUGUAAACUGCUUUUGUACGGAACGAAAAGCCCCGGGUUAAUACCCUGGGGUCAUGACGGUACCGUAAGAAUAAGCACCGGCUAACUACGUGCCAGCCGCCGCCGUAA
rnacentral:rRNA from 1 species